rnacentral:rRNA from 1 species
UACGUAGGGGGCUAGCGUUGUCCGGAAUCAUUGGGCGUAAAGCGCGUGUAGGCGGUCCGGUAAGUCCGCUGUGAAAGUCGGGGGCUCAACCCUCGAAUGCCGGUGGAUACUGUCGGGCUAGAGUGCGGAAGAAGGCGAGUGGAAUUCCUGGUGUAGCGGUGAAAUGACGCAGAUAUCAGGAGGAACACCAAUUGCGAAGGCAGCUCGCUGGGACGUAACUGACGCUGAGACGCGAAAGCGUGGGGAGCAAACAGG